UAAAUUUUUGGUGCAAAAUCUCGGGGUUAAUCCUAUGGAAUCCAACAAAAGAACCUAUCUUGGGAAGUGGUACAAUAUUUACAGAAUCUCAUCUGGAAUCACCCUCCCUAGAAACGACAACAUUUUCCUCCAACCGUCAAAAGUCCUAUAGUGCAUACGAAAAAAGGUUCCAACUAUUUGAUUCUUGCACUAAUGAUUGCAUAUCAGUAACUAAAUCUUCUCCUACAAUUACCGUUAGACCCCUAGCUUUUGGAACCAAACCUUCUGCGUCAGAUACAGUUUCAUCUAAAAGUAUGGAUAUUGGCAAUGUUGGAGCUGUUAAGACCAAGAAUGUUGGUAGCCAUAAUCAUUCAAUAAAAAAGGAACCUCAUCUGCCCCCAAGUUCUGAAGGCAAAGAAGGUUGCGUGGAUGCCAACCACCUCAGCUUUCACGUAG
rnacentral:lncRNA from 1 species